UUAUAUUUAUAUAAUUUAUCUAAUAUAUAUUUAUAUAUAUAAAUAAACAAUUAUAUAUAUAAUGUAUAUAUAUUUAUUAUUUGAUUUUUAGUAAAAAAAAAAUAUAAAGCCGAGCUCAAUUAUAAAAAUACUUAUUUAUAUGUAAAGUUUCAACCAUUAAAUCAAAAUUUAACAGAUAAAAGUUUAUAAAUUUAUUUUUUAUAUAUAUUCAAUGUAAUUUAUUUAACUUAUUAUUCAUUAGCCAGCUCACGAGCUGAAUUUUUUGACUUGAUACUUUUUCAAAUGAGCCGAACACGAGCCGGUCCUAGCU
rnacentral:lncRNA from 1 species